CGGAAAGAGUCUUCUAUAUUAGUCACUACCUCGCGGGUUCCUCUUUCUCCUCGUUGCAUCGUCUUGUGGUGUGGAAGGUUCCUGGUAGAACUUAAACCGCAAUUAAGUGAAACAAUGUUUAACCUUUGUUUUUCAAAAUAUCACGUAGUCCAUGAAGGCUCGUAUGCAGGCUUGGGACCAGUAGUAUGGGCGCCGUGUAGGUGCUCGAUGGCAAUGGCGGGGUCCGUGGGGAAACGGCAUCCAAUAAAGGCUUCCAGAAGAGAGCAUGUGGUUACGAAACCCAAUUAAACGGCUAGACCUCCUAGACGCUGAUGACUGACAAUGCAGCCGCGCAGACGACUACGCUUGUUGUUUAGGGAAGGAGAAGCAGAUCACAUAUUCACCACCUCAAGACUUGGAUGUCUUACUCUAAUUUCCCAGCAGUGCUUCAUUGGUCAAACUGGAGGUGUAGCACCGCCCAGGGCUACCAUAACCUACAGAAUAGUUAUACAUUCCUGGGACUGCUCCAUGGGUCAAACUGGAGGUGUAGCAGCACCCAGCUGGAUGACCACCACAGCCUAGUUCUACAUUCGCAUUGACUGCUCUGUGAGCUAAACUGGAAGAGGUAGCAAAACCUCCAGACUGCAGCUGGUGUAUUUUGAAUACUACACUGGUUGUACUAGGAAGGAGAAGCACAUCCCAUAUUCACCACCUCGAGAGUUGUGAUGUCUUAUUCUACAUUGACUCUGAGCUAAAGUUGAAGAGGUAGCACAACCUCAAGACUGCAGUUGGUGAUGGUGUAAUUUGCAGCCGCGCAGACGACUACGCUUGUUUAGGGAAGGAGAAGCAGAUCACAUAUUCACCACCUCAAGACUUGGAUGUCUUACUCUAAUUUCCCAGCAGUGCUUCAUUGGUCAAACUGGAGGUGUAGCACCGCCCAGGGCUACCAUAACCUACAGAAUAGUUAUACAUUCCUGGGACUGCUCCAUGGGUCCAACUGGAGGUGUAGCAGCACCCAGCUGGAUGAAGACCACAGCCUAGUUCUACAUUGACUCUGAGCUAAAGUUGAAGAGGUAGCACAACCUCAAGACUGCAGUUGGUGAUGGUGUAAUUUGGCUUUAUCGUCGCCACUGAUGCGCAUGUCCUUGAAUGGCAGUUUGGUUCAAGUCCUGGUAUCCUUUUACAGACAACACUUGUAACGGGAAGGAGAAGCAGAUCUCAUAUUCACCAGCACCUCAAGACUUGUGGUCUUGCUCUACCUUCUCAAGGACCGCCGCAUGAGUUGAACCGGGUCCAGGACUUCUGCUGGCUGUAGUUUAGAUCCGUGCUGAUGGGACUCCGACGACUACGCUGGUUGUACAGGGAAGGAGAAGCAGAUCCCAUAAUCGCCACCUCAAGACUUGAUAUAUUACUAUACCUCAGAUUUGCCAUGGACUGCAUCAUGGGUCAAACUGGAGUUGUAGCAGCAACCAGCUGGGUGGCCAUCAUGGCCCGAAGCCUAGUUCUACUGCAUGAUGUUUAACUGGGAGCAGGACGUCUAGUGGCUGUAGUUUGGCCCUGUGCGGUUUGACUCCGCAGGCUACACGUUGUACCUGGAAGGAGAAGCAGAUCCCAUAUUCGCCAACACCUCAAUACUUGACGUCUGACUACUGGCUGUAGUUUGGAUCAGUGCUGUUUGACUCUGCCUUGCAGACAUGCGCUUGUACUGGGAAGGAGAAGCAGAACUCAUAUUCACCACCACCUCAAGACUGGUGUUGGCUUACUAUAAUUAAACGCUGGGGGAGAACCAAGCAACACUUGGUUAUGGCAGUGUGGAAGAGCUCCAAGAUGGGCUGUUUGAAAGAAUUCACUGAGCAUGAUAAAGGGAACUGACAUACUGUCAUCCCCUAUUAAUGAAUGUACACUGACUGUACACAUUAUGGGCGUACAAGACCACUAGACUUUUCAGGGGCUGAAAUACAACACUUCUAAUGUACAAAUGAAUGUCGUGCCAAUAAAAAAUAAACAUAAGCUUGUGCUGUUAUAUUUAUUUUUUUCUUCAAUCGUCUACACUGAAACACCUGCUUACUGGUAAUUACAAUUGCAUUGCGGCACCUAGAAUAACUCCCGUUUGGGUUGAACAGUAGCCGCAACUUAUCGGUCGCCGGGAAAAGCUCGUGAGUUCUCUGGGUCUUUUGGGACAUGACCUCAUUUGAAUGCUUCCUGCCUCCAAGCCCACUGGAUAUCCAUAUAAACUCACUCAAAAGAUUUCCAUAAAGGUGCGCCAGGGACCGAGCACUCGUUUGACUAACAAACCAACCCGGCUCCAGUUGCCGCCCUGCGCCUCCCCCCUCCAGUCGCUACAAAAGACGAGCGCAAGGGAGUGCCUACAGCCAGACAACUAGGACCUCCUGCACUGCCCAGCGAUAGUGUACCAGUGUAGAGCGGAAAAUCCCACGGAAACGAGAUUGUACACAAGCUCUUUAGUCUGCUCACUCGCUAGUGUCCCAGAUUUUGUCCUCCAUCACUCGGCUGACGGGAAAAUCGAGCGGCGCAGAACAGCGGACUACUUGCCUACAGGCCUAACGGCACCAUGGACGAGUUAGACGUACCACAGAUGAAGAGGGAGGUGGAGAGUCUUCAGUAUCAGCUGGCAAUCAACAGAGAAAAGUCCUCAAUCACUGUCACAGAGCUUGUGAAGUGGAUUGAGGGCUGUGUGUGUGACGAUCCAUUUCUGAACCCAGAGCUGAUGAGGGCCAACCCCUGGGUGGAGAAGGGAAAGUGUGUGAUCCUCUAAGGGGCGAUGCAGAUGCACGCAAAUAUUAUCACGGAUGCACACCUAACGACCCCCCCCCCCACACACACACACACACUUUCACGAUGCACUUCCUCAUUCUCUUACACUGCUAUGAUUAUUAUAAAUAUUUAUUUGGACUCCCACGAAUGCUUUUUUAAUUUAUGCUGAGGACUGGCAGACGACCUGGCUGUAUGUGUGAGUGUAGAGCGGUGCGUAGCUUUCUAGACGUUUGCGUAGUUAUGGACCCACUGAGCGAUGUUAUCAAUCAAGGUUUUUAUUGGCUGUUUGUACUGUCAAUCAAAAUAAACACUGUUUUGAACUGAA